UACAACUAAACAAAAGAGUUUGCAAGCCUCAGUCUCAACCACACUUUAUUGUUCUAUAACGUGAGUUUCUUCUCCAUUGCUGUUUGUCUCAAACAGAGAAAGUACAGGCUUGUGACCUUUCCGCAGAUUCCCCUGACAUCCUCCAGCCUGCAGCCAUAGUUCUAUCAGCUCUCUCCUCAGCCUUACUGCAGCAUAUUAACGCUUCUCACAGAGUCAUAUGGUGACUGAGGAGGAAUGAGCUUAUAAGGCCUCUUUAAUUACAGUUGGAUGACUCCCUGUAUGCUGGCUGGCUGUUCUCUGCUAGUACUUCCUCUCUCUCCUCAGAGACACAACCAAGACAAUUGGUUCCUUGGCUCAGUUUCAUCGUAGUACCCCCUUGCAAACAGAAGUGCUGUCAACUCAUCCCUGAUCCCCACUCUGUCCUGUCCGUUCUCAUCAUGGCCCAGAAGUCAGGACCACUUCAGUGUCCGAUCAGAUCUACUCCUCCUGACACCUCUCUUCCACAGGCCAAUCAAGGGAGCUAAAUCCCUAUGACAAUAUCAAUAGCUGAACCGAGCCCAUUGGCUCUCCUAGUUUUACACUUGAAAAUGUGGCGAUGACUCAACACUAUAGCUUCAAUUUGCUCCCACAAAGGGAAGGGAAUCCAUAAGUGUCUGAAUGUUUCAAAUAGCACACAAUUUUGGGACUUGUGCCCACACCUACCAUCUCUGGAC
rnacentral:lncRNA from 1 species